rnacentral:tRNA from 1 species
AGCCCCGAGGUGUGACAUGUCAGACUGCAAAUCUGAAGACGACCUUUGGGUCCGGGGCUU